rnacentral:piRNA from 1 species
UUCCCGAAGUUUUUGUUUUUU